rnacentral:rRNA from 1 species
GACGAACGCUGGCGGCGUGCCUAAUACAUGCAAGUGGAGCGACGAACCAGGGCUUGCCCUGGGGCAGAGCCGCGAACGGGUGAGUAACACGUGGGUAACCUGCCCUGAUGAUUGGGACAACCCGGGGAAACUCGGGCUAAUACCAAAUGUGCUUUCUGGCCUUAAGGCUGGUUUGGAAAGGUAGCUUCGGCUAACCGCAUCAGGAUGGGCCCGCGGCCCAUUAGCUUGUUGGUGGGGUAAUGGCUUACCAAGGCUUCGAUGGGUAGCUGGUCUGAGAGGACGAUCAGCCACACUGGGACUGAGACACGGCCCAGACUCCUACGGGAGGCAGCAGUAGGGAAUCUUGCGCAAUGCGCGAAAGCGUGACGCAGCAACGCCGCGUGGAGGAAGACGGUCUUCGGAUUGUAAACUCCUUUCAGUUGGGACGAGGCUUCGGCGUUGAAUAGACGUUCGGAGUGACGGUACCUUCAGAAGAAGCCCCGGCUAACUACGUGCCAGCCGCCGCGGUAAUAC